ensembl:lncRNA
UUUAUUUAUCGGUGCAACAGCAGAACAUUUUCCACAGACAGUUUUCCUGCCCGUUGGCUUGUUUUAACCAGUUUUCUGCCUUCGGCUGAUUCUACCAGCAGACACUGAAAGGACUGAUAGUUCGAGUGAAAGUAGCAAUUCCUCCUUAAGGUCAGCGAUUGCAGCAUCUGAGGGCCUCUUCAAAAGAAGACGUAGCUGAUGAAGGCGUUCUGGAGCAGGACCAGAAAGACCACGACCAAGCAGCCUUGAGAUAUUAGGCAGCGUCUCCUUCAGACCAAAGAACUACAGACUCUUCACAACCUGCUCAAACUCUUGGUACAGGACCUCACCACACGGGUCAAGAAGGUUUCCAUCUCAAUUCUACUCUGAAGCUCACCUUCUCCUGCUCAAACUGCUGACAAAUGUUUCUGCUGCUCUAAAGUCUGGUCUCCAGAACUUCCUAAAAACUCUCUAAGUCUGCUUUGUAGAACUGUUGCAGAAAACCUCACUAAACCACAUGGAGGGGCCUCAAGAUAGUCAUCCAAAUGAAACCGUACAAAAACC